GCAAUAUACCUUACGCAGAGGCUCAUGGGAAAGUAAUGUCCGCAACAAAAAUAACGUGUUGUUAGUAUGAGACGUAUUGAAUGUGUAUGAGAAGAAGCGGGCUUCUGAAGAGAGAAAGAAGCUUGGCGUUGAUUAAAAAAUAGUCUGUGAAUUAUUUCAUUUCACUAUAUUACUUUUAAUUGUCGAUUGUAACAACUCGGUUUUGUUUUGUGUGGAAUGGUGAUCAACGAUGUCCCUGUCGGUUUAUGUCUAUAGAUGUUCCGAUGUGGACGCCAUUUUACUAACCUUUUAGGCGGGGAAGUAAAAGAUAAUAAGCUUUGGCCGCAAAAUAAAUAACGUGUGGUGUGUGUUAAGCAUGCAGUCAUGCGGAGAAAAAGGACAACAUUUGAAGACUUCCAAAUCAUCCAUUGUAUGCAGUGCCGCUGGCUUACGCCCACAACUGUCUUGGAGGAUGUGAAGGAUUGUGUUAGACGUAUAUCAAUCACACCGUACUUUUUUCUCAGGCUGUGUUGAAACUGCAAGGAAUUUGGAACUUUAGAUGUAAUAUCACACCUGAUAGAGGUAGGAGGUGCAAGUCCUUGAUAAUGUUGCCAGUGAUCACCCCACUAAUGAGUAACGAACCCGUGUGACCGGAGCGCACAAGCAUCUGCAGCAUUGUUUCAAUAACAGGUUAGCUGUGUAAGGCACUAAUAAUGGAGAAUGGUACACCAGUCAUCAUUGAAGACUCCAGCGAUGGUGAAAAAUUGCAACCGUGUAAAGAUUUACUGACAGAAGGACUUUCAGAUAACAGCAACACAUCUAGUUCUUCACGAACAGUUACAGACUCUGCCAGUCUUAAUAGUGAAGAUGUCAAAGUUCCUGACUCUACAGUUAUUGUCAUUGAUGAUAUUGCUCCUCAUGAAAAUGAAGAGGUUCCCAAAAGCUCAAGUAAAGUAAACGGUGAAGUGCAAAUAUAUAAGUCUCAAAGACAGAGUGAUACAGAUUCAGAAAAUGAUGAAAUUAUUUGUCAUAAACACACUGAAUCUACUAAAUCAAUAUUUGAUAAAGAUCCUGAAUCAAGUAAGGCAAUUAAUGAAUAUGAUAAAGUACUGGAUGAAAAGCUUGACUCUAUUGAAAAGUUAAAUAUUAAAAGCUCUGAUACAGAGGAAAAAUUGUGUGAUAAAGAGAAUGAAGGUAGUGAAAAAGGCGAGUGUGAAUUAAAGUCAAAUGGCAGUGAUUCAGAAGUGGAAAAAGAGCUGUAUGAUAAAGAUACUGAAAAUAGUGAAUUUUUAUGUGAUGCCAAUGCUGAAAGUGAAAAAGUGAAAAAUGAUGAAAAACCUGAGCUUGUUAAAAAUUUGGGUGAUGAUACAUUACCUGACAAAGAUAAUGACUUAGACACUGAGGACAAAGGAUGCACUAAAAAAUAUGAACCUAUGGAAGAUGUUUGUGACAAAGAUUCUGAACUUAACGACAAAGUCAUAAAUGUUGAUUCCGAUUCGGAUGAAAGAAUUUGUAACAAAAAUGAUGAACAUGAUACGAAACUGGAAAGCAAAGAACCUGAAUUGGAGAAAAAGGAAUAUGAUGAAAUUUCAGAAUACGACAAGAAAAAGAGUGAUAGAGAUUCAGAUUCUGAUAAAAAGAUAAAUGAUGUCGAUUCUGAGAAAACUGCAUUGACCAUUGCAGAUGGGAUAAAAACAAGAGCACGAAACAACAGAGAAACUAAAUUUACAAGCACAGUUAACAUACAGGUUGCAACUCCAAGAAAACGUAAACGGAAAGUUAGCCCAAUUUGCAAAGACUUGUCUCAAAAGGACUCUAUUCCUAUCGACAGCAAUGUUGAAUUUAAAGGUUUCAAGAAAAGAAUGCUUGCACAAGCAUCUCCGGCAACAAAUAGCAUGCCACUAACUUCAGUUGCAGGAAAUAAUUUUCACACUUCUCGCGAAUUGGAAAGGAUUGCUAUGCCUCCAACCUCAAUGUCAUAUGGAGCAGACUCAAGCACACGUUUAACAGAGUAUGCACAGUAUCUAGGCCUGCAGCCUACAGUGAAAUUCAAGUGUUUCAAAUGUGGGGAAUCAGGUUUUCCCUCAAUGGGUGCAUUGCAUGAUCAUCAAAUUGUGUGUCUUAAAACAGGAAAUUCUCAGUCAAUCUCUAAAUAUGUAGUAGCAACGGCACAGACACCAACAACCACUUCUACCACCCUAUCUUCUGGCACACCUUCAACAAAUUUCAGGAUAACAAGAAAGGUAUACCUCUGUUCAGCUUGCGGAACAUAUUAUGAGAACUGGAACUUGUUUGAACAUAUGAGAGUUGUUCAUAAACGUCUUAUUUGUUUAUAUUGUUUGGGCAUGUUUGCACAAGCUGAUAAGUUGUCUGCUCACUUAUGCAAUAUCCAUCGCAUGACAGAAAAAGUUUUUCAAUCUGCAGAACAUUUUAUGAAUGAAUUUAAGGGUUCAAGUUUUCUUAUGUGUUGUUCCUGUGAAAAGUUAUUUGAAGACACCAAUAACUUCUUUGAUCACCAUUGCGAUCAGUCAAAUGUGAGUGGACUGUGUGAGUCUUGUGGUGUACAAGGAGCAUGUCAUUUGACAGGCUGUAAGCAAAAGGUAGUGACAAAGACUUUACCACCUUCAACCACAGCACCUACUGAUUGUGUCGUGACAAAGUCAGUGGUGAACUCAGCCAAAGAACUAAAAGAAUCACCAUCAUCAUCAAAGAAAUAUUUGCUACCUUCAAAGAAGAAAGUUGCAGCAAACAAAGAGUACAAGCAUGCCAUAACAUUGCUAGAGACCAGUCCUAGAAAAAAUAAAUCUCAAGAAAAAGAAUUUUCUGAUGAAGAUUAUGAUAUAAGUGAUGCUGCAAGCUUUUGCCACGUUAACAUCCAUGAACAACCAGAAAAUCAAAAUGAAGAUAUAACAAGAAAAAAAUCAUACAUAAAGAAAACAAGCCCAUCCGUUGAAGUAAAUGAUGAAAAACAUACUAACUUAGACAGUUCAAUUAAUCAAAGUGAUUCAGAUACAGAAUCUGUUAAGUCCUAUAAACAUGCAUCUGAUGAAGAUUCAUCCAAACCAAAUGAAAAAAUCUCAUCAGAUUUCUUGAAAGAAACUGUUCCACUUGAAUCAACCAGAAGUUAUGACUUUUCAGAACGAAAAAAGGAUGAAAAUAGCAUACAAAGGAAUACAGACACCACUGCUGUUGCAAAGAAUUGCAACUCACAGGAACCGUAUAUGGUUGAUACACCAUCACCUAAAAGUGAUGAUGUCACCGAUAAAACUAAAGAGAAAAAUAAAAAUGAAAAAUGUUCAAGUAUUAGUAAAGUGUUGGAGACUGAGAAUUCAUUAUAUAGCUUGAAAUUAGACUCUAUAUAUGCACCCCCUGACACUUCUAAAACAGCUGAUCCAAGUAUGUCCACUCAGAAAUGUGAUGAGAAUGUGGGUAAUGAUUUUGAUAGUGACAAACCAACAAAGACUGGAACUGAUUCUGCUGAUAGUCAACAAGAUCAGCCAAUUUUAGAACUUGGUUCAGAUCAGAAACCUGAUGCACUUUCCAAAGAAGAGAUGGCAGGUGAUGAAAAUUCAAAUACUUUGCCAGAAGCUAGGUUAAGUUCUCAUUCAUUAGAAACAAAUUCUAAUCAUGUAGAUGAGCCAAUAGUGAAAUCUCCAAUUUCAGGCUCUAAAGAUGGCCAAGAUUUUGACAAUCAUGCAUGCACUUCUGAUACCCAAACAAAAUAUAAUUCUUCUGGAUCUGAUAAUGAUACUACACAUGGUAGCAUAGUCCAGUCAUCAUCUUCAGAUGUUUCUUCUGAUGAAUCUCAGCAUCAGAAUGAUUUCACGAAAAAUGAAAAUAAAACACAAUCUCAUAUUGAUUCAGAGGAUGAGAAUGUUGAUAGUGAUAAAAUGUCUCUUGUAGUAGAUGAAAAUGGAAGUGAUAAUGAAAUUGACUUAUGCGAAAAUAACAAAAAUAAUGUUAAUAAGAUCCCAUCUGAAGAUGCACAAACCUUAAAACAAGAUACAGAAAGUGACUCUGAAUCUAAGCAAGACUCUAUAACAGAUCCUCGGAAAGUCGUAAUAAAAGAAGAAAUGAAAAUGGAGAAUAAAUCUCAAGACAUCAUGCAUGUUGCAGAAAAUGAUGCACCACUUUUAGAAUUAACGCUUGAUAGAAAUAUUGAUGAAAUAAGUUGUGCAGAGCUUAUCAAGGAAAGCGUUAAAGUUUCUUCUGUCUCAUGUGUUUACUGCAAUCAUGCUAAAAAGAUAGCUGUAAAUGGUAAACAACUUCUGCUGCAUGUGUUGGCUGAACAUAGAUUUUCAAUUGUUGUAUGUUCAGAUAGUGGAGAACUUACAGAAGUGAAUGGUUUUGUUUCAAAACUUGAGAAAAAUGUCAAUGAACUUCAAGAUGUUUUUUUUAAUGUUGAUACAUAUGACAGCACCACAAAAGUUUUAGCAAAAUCAUUUGACAAAACAUAUGAAUGUUUUCACUGCCAUUUUGUGACAGCUUCUCACAAGGAACUUUACUUGCACAAUCGAAAAAUGCAUCAAAAGACAAUACUGCUAUGUAUAAUGUGCAAAUCAAACUUCUACAGCUACAGUGAACUCUUAUGUCAUAUCUGUCCAGGUAUUUAUGUAUCGGAUAGUAAUAUUAAUUUUCGAUGUUGUCUAUGUGAUGUUGACGGUUUGCCAUCAGCAUUUAGAUUGCUUGUUCAUUUGAGAAAACGUCACAAUGCGUGUGAUGUUUGUUUAGAGACUACAGGUGACCAGCAAAAAUUAUCUAAUCAUGUUUGGAAACACAAACUACACCAUCUGUGUUAUCGCUGCGGAAUCGCAUAUAGAAACAAACCUGAUAUUACAAAACAUUUGUUUUGGAAGCAUGGCACAGAAAGUGUUCUUUGCAAACGUUGUUUGCAGAAGAAAUGGCCACAUGUUUACCAUUUUUGCAUACCGCCUACCACAUUUGUUUGUGAGGAAUGCAGUGCACAUUUUUCAAGAGCAGUUGCACUAAAAGUUCACAAAAGAUUGCACUCUGGGGACCUGCCAUAUUCUUGCAAGGAAUGUGAUGAGAGUUUCAUUUCUAAAAAAUUACUUUCUAAACAUAGCAGAAGACAUGGUGUUUCAGAUAAGGAAAAUAUUUUAGAAAAUGCUCCAGUAUCAAAUGAUGAAGACCAUCAGAAGGAACGGGAUUCUGAUGGAGGAAUAUCCCAGUUGGAUAAAUGUACAAAAGGAAGAAUGAGCACUGAUAAUGAACUUGAAGUGGAAUGUGUAGAAAAACGUACCGCACCAAGUAUUGUCAAGGAGCAUGAUGAUAGUGAUUCUUGCAAAGGUGCUAAAUCUGAACUGAAAGAAAAAAGUGAUAAGAAAAGUAAAGUAGUUGAUGUCUAUGAUCUGCCACCCUUAAAUCUUUCUUCAGACAGUGAUGACUCAGAUGAUGCUGAGAAUAUAAAUAAAGGUAAACCUGAGAACACAAGUACUGAAAAACCAGGGUCGUAUUUAGAAAGUAAAGUAAGUAAUGAAGCUUGUUCAGAUGAGAAUCAGCAACCAGCACAAGUACUUGAUGGAAUAUGGGAUGACUUUAAGACAUAUAAAGCAAACUUAGAAAAGAAAGAGAAUCUUGCAGUAGGGGAUGAUGAAAGUGUGCGAAGUCUCUCAGAUGUUCUUCAUGCAAUUAUGCUUGACCAUGAUUAUUGUGGUGGUACAAUAGAGGCAUGUAUUAAAACAGAAAUUCCUGGUGUCAGUAUAAGUGCUGAAAAUGCUGAACAGUCACUGCCCCCAAGUGUAGAAGUCAAAGAUGCAAUAGAAGAAAAAACUGAAGAUGAUAAAAACAGGUUUGAUGCAGAGCAUAAUUAUUGUUUCAGUAAUGAUGCAUCGCCAAAUGAAAAUGAAGUGAAGGAAUCAACAUCUGCACCGGAAGAGUCAUCUACCAUUCCAAGUAAAAAGAAGCAAAAAGCUGUGAAAAAGAAGCAGAAGCGGAGUGCAAGUUCAUCCUCUAGUGACUCCAGCAGCAGUGACUCAAGUAGUUGUAGUUGUGGAACCAAUUGCAGUUGCAGCAGUUCAAGUUCCAGCAGUAGUGGCAGUUCCUCUAGUCAAAGCUCAGAUUCUGAUAGCUCGAGUUCAGAAGGAAGGCGGAGGCAAGCGGCUAGAAGGGAAAGAAGGAAAGAAAGAGCUAAAAAUAAGAAAAAAGGUGAAGAUACUACAAAACUGGAUAGUAAAUUGGGAGAUGCAUCUGCUCCAGUUUGUGGCUCUUCACCGGAAGUUGAAGAACCUGUCAAAAACAGUACUACAAUGGAACAAGAUGGGAACGAGCCAACAAUCAAGGAGUCAGACUUAGAAACUGACGAAACUGAAACAGAUGAAGAUUUUUAUGAUCAACAUCCACAAAAAUUAGCUAAUAAAUUACUUGCAGAGAAAAGGAAUCAACUGUUACUUUUGGCAGCCGUGGCACCGGUCAAUAAUGGUACUAUAGCAACUACCAGUUCACCUGUAGAAGUUUCUAGAGAAAUACCUGCAACUAGUAAGAAGAUGAAGACAAAAAAGAGAAGAAAACCACAAUAUCAGCAGCAUUCGAAUAAGAAAGUUAAAGUUGAUAACCUUCCAAAACUAAAUACAUCAACUUCCUUUUAUAAGGGUCAAGUUUCAACGUUUACAGUUAACUCUCCGUUGCCUUCUGCAUCUAACCAAACUCCUCAGGUAACCAUUCCCACCACAGCAGCUCUGCCUCAAGUACCCUAUUCUCCAAAUAUUCCUCAUCCUACAGCUACCCCUUCAUAUCACAGCACUGGCAGUGGAUCUGAAACUGAUAGUAAAAGGUUGUCGAGGCGGAGGAGAGUUCCCAAGAGAUUCUACGGUGACACAAGUGAUGAAGAUGGAGACUCAACACCGCAAAGGAAAUGGCAAAAAACCUCCGUUAAUGAUAGUUCUCUACCUGUAUCAUCCAACUUUUCUUUCAGGAGUGGAGUGAACUCUGUUUCUGAGCCAAAGAGACCUGUUGUUGCUCCAUUGCAGGAAAAGUCUGAUGAUGAUGUUGGAGAAGACAGUGAAAGUGAACACGAGAUGAAGAGGAGUAAUAGUGACUCAUCAAACAGUGAUAGUGACAAGGGUAAUGAACAGUCUGAUCUUGACAGUGACACAGAUAAUCUUUCAGUGACGCACACACAGACUACAGUGAAAAGUGGGGAAGAGGGUCAGCAGAAAAGUGACAAUUUGUAUUGCUACUGUCAGUGUCCAUAUGAUGAAGUGUCUGAAAUGAUUGCAUGUGACGGUAAGGGUUGUGCAAUUGAAUGGUUUCACUUUGAGUGUGUAGGCAUAAUGGUACCUCCUAAAGGAGAAUGGUUCUGUCCGGAUUGCAGAAAAAAACUGACUGCUAGAACUGAUCAUAUGUUGCAAGCGUAAGAGAGUAGAGUAACUAGCAAGCCCCUGGUAUAUUCAGUGUGCAAAUUCAUCUACUGGUUUGUGCAAUGCCCGAUUACUGAAAAUGCCAGAUUAUCAAGCAGUAAGUAUCGCCCACGAUCAGUAAAUGCUAAGUUGUUAAAAUAGAUACAUCUGCAAGAUGUUGUUAACAGGGUUCGUAUGCCUCUUUGACCAGUCCUUAAUUUAUCUUUAAUUGAAUAUGGGGCCUUAAAAUUUAAAUUUCAUUGGAAUAAUCCUUAACUCCUUAAUAAUGACUGAUAGCAUGCAAGUAAUGAAUAAAUGCAGGUAUUUUAGUUUUUGUUUCCGUAUUGUCAGCAAACAUUGGUUUCCCAUGUGCAGUACUAUUGGCAAAUUUCGGGCAGUGUGACUUAGAUUUUGAAUUUUUUUUUUUCUUUAUUUUGUGUCACCUUUUAACUAAAAAGAUUUGUUUUACUUGUCUCACUUUGAACUUAAUGCUGCCAACUAACCCCGAGCCACACUGAGUAAGUUAGACUACCACUAACGUGUGUACUGAACAUGUGUUUUCAACCUUAGCUGAAAAAUAAUGGGUUUUUAACUUAAGUUUGCAUUGUUGGUCUAACUCUUUACAUUCCUCGCUGUCACACCUUUGGGCGUUCCAGACUGUUUUAUGCCGGACUAUCAGAAGUCUACUGUAUUAAUACUGUAGUUAUACAGCAUGAGUGGUCUUUGUCAGAAAAGUAGCACAAUAUGUUUUAUCCAUAUACAAUAAACUAAGGUAGCAUUUAAUAACACAAUUAUAUCAGUACAGUAAAAGCUUGUAUACAUAUAUAUAUAUUUUUUUUCUUUUCAACACAAACACUUGAAGGUUUAAGUGUGGAUGCAAGAGUAUGAAAUAAUCUAUAGCUAUCACCGUAAGUACUGCAAAGUAGCAGGUUUAAGCUCUUCAAAUUUGCAUAAAAUUCUCAUAUUAUACCUUUAAAAAAAAAGUAUACUUUCUAGUAUUAUUAUUUAAAAAUUUUCAAUUCACUCCAAUAACCACAGAAAACAUUAUCUGCCGCUCAUUAAAGUAUGUAUAGUAUUUGGUAAGUAUUUAGUAAACAAUUCCGCAACAUUCAUUAUAAUGUAACAUAUGCAAACUCAACUAUUAAUUUCAGAGUACCUGAAAGUCAAGGAUUUUUCCCAAGCUUACAGCAUAUAAAAUAUAAUAUUAAACUUAUUAUUAAUGGUUAAAUAAAACACCCUCGUAACACAAUAUACCCACAUUUAUGUCUGCCAUUUCCUUGACUCGUUCCAACAACAAACAAACAAAUUCCAGUGUUGAAAACACAAACAAAGGUUAAUUCUCUACAUAUAAUUCGUCUUGCAUUGGGGUAUAUAGAUUAAAUUCACCCUGUUGACUUAUUUUUACUGCUUGCUACUAAUGUUAAGCUACAUGAUGGACCAUUUAUUAUAGUCACAUUAAAUCUCACACAACCUGCAUAAUUAGUUGUGUUUGUUUUAUCAAAUUCCUAUAUCAUAUAACUCAAAAAUAUUUUGCCUUGAUGAAAAAGGAAAGUGUGGACCUCAUCUUGCAUUUGAGUUAGUACAUUCAAGGUACAUGUACGUACGCAUGGACUCAAUAGAAAAUCCCUGUUUCAUUAGCACUUAACAUAUCCUUUGGUGUAGUACAAAAAAUUAUGGGAGGUACUAUGGUGGAUGAGGCCAGUAUUCCAAGACACAAAAAUAAGGUUUUAUGUGUUGAAUGUGCUACACCCGUACCUUAACCGUAUUCAUAAUGCGCCAUAGGACAGGACCAGUCCCGUAUGUUUAGGCAACGGAUUUUGGUGCCCUACCCGUUGCCGGUCUGUUGCCCAAAUUUUAUGCAUGUGCAGAGCUCGCUUUUUCAUUGAUUUUGUCCAGAUGGCUGAACUAAUUAUUUUUACUACCAGGGGACGCAUCAAGCUUGUUGGUGUGCCAAAUGAAACUUUAUGGUAACAAAACUAUCCUGGACUACAUUUUGUACACUUUAAUGGUCAUAAAAACAAAUAUCGCAACUUUAAAAGUACUUGAUAAAAUGAAAAUAAAACCAUUUAAUUUGCAUGAUAAUGCUGCCAUCUGUAAAAUUUUUGAAGUAGCAAAUGUAUCAAUGGUUGCCAAACUGCUAAAAUGCAUUGAAAUCAGUUCGUAGCCUUCAGCAAAGCACAGUUUAUUAAAACGGUUGCUUUUUCAUUACCUUACAAGGAUUGGGUUUGGACACAUUCUGGAAAACGGUUUGCGAGUUAGGUUACGGGUGUAUCCCAACAAGGUAAUGCUUAUUCGCUACCUACCCGAAUGUCUUUGAAUACCACCCUGAAUGAUCAGAUUGCUUACCUUCCCCAAAGGUGAUCAAAGUUUGAUUCCUGUCUGGGUUUAAUCUGGAAUUUUUCGCAUGUGGGAAAUUCAGAAGACAUUACUGUGAGCUGGUGGGUUUCUCAGGGUGCUUGUGUUUCUCCCACCAAUGCAUUCUGUUCCUGCACAAUUUCAUCAUUUCAUCUCAUUUCUCUAAUGACGUUUACUGGACAAUAAGGCCAAAGUUCUUAAUUUUAGAAAUGUUACAUUGUAUUAUAGAUGAACUGAGUGAUUAUGAUUUAAGGUAAAUAUAAAAUAUGUUAAGUAAGGUUAAUAUAAAAUAAUAUGUUAAUGGCCGGUUUCACCAAUGUCCCCUAACUUUUAAGGGCUGCUUAAGGCAUGUGUAAGGGCUGCCUAGCACAUUGAAUCGUUUCACCAACAGUUAAGGAACUCUUAAGUAAUCUUAAGCAUCCCUUAGUUUAAGUGGUGGAAAUCGUGCCCCUAACUAUUUAAGCGGCACUUACUGUCACAAAACAAGAAAAAUAAAAUGGAUGCCGUGGAGGAAUACGAACUAGCCGAAGAUGUACAUUUUAUUUUUGAUAUAAAUGUUAUUGCUGAAGUUGUGGAACAUUUUUAAGGUGAACUUAAUGUGAAAUCCUUUAUUAUAAAUACAUUCGAGAAUGUUCGCAUACUCCACUUUUAUUUAAGAACUCAUUUAAUAAGGAAGUAAUUAAAGGUUUUUCUUUUGAAAAGUCUUAAAAGAACAUUUAUUACAAGGAAUUUUGUAUGUCCUAAAGGAAAUAAACUGAUAUUUUUUUUUAUCUGCUAUUAAAACUUAGUUUAAACUUGGACAAAAUUACAAUAGCGAAUAAAUUCUCCCAUGCUGCGUCCUUUUCUUUGCUCGAAACAGCAUCCGUUCUCUUACUUUCUAUUAUAUUUUUAUGCCUCUCAACUAGGCUCAACACCUUCAUUUUCUCAUCAGAAGAAAAGUUUUGCGUUUUCAUUCUCUUUGUUUCAAACAUUUUCACAGUACUUUGCAACGACCAUAUAGCUACUACUUUCCGUGAAAAUACACUAACAUCGUAACAUCCAAUUACUGCGAAAUUAAUAAACAUUCAGAUAUUUGUUUACUGUUUAGUAAAAAUAUUUGAUUGGCUUAUGUAUGUCACGUGACAACAAGUUCGAAGUACCAACCUGAAAACUAUUAGUACUUAUAUCUGUACGAACCCUCGCUCUAUGGCAAGCAAGUCCCUAACUAAGCAAACCCUACAUAAGUGAAUGUUACGAUGGUGAAAACCAAUUUCGUGAGAAUUGACUUUAAGGAACGCCUAAACUUAAGCAGUCCUUUGCUGAGGGUGUGUUUAGGAGGCGUUGGUGAAAACGGCUCUAAGAAUAAUUAAAGGAAACCUUACAAAUGUUUUAUUAAUUAGUAGGUACCUACAUUAAUUCAACUAAAAAUAAUUAGUGGACUUUGUGAAAAUUUUAUUUUAUUUUAGAUAUUAUGCCAUUGAUUUAACAAGUUAAAGUUAUAAUUUUUUUAAUUGGAAUUUUUUAGAAGAUGUCUAACACAAAAUUACUCGUAACCUUUUUUUUUAAAUCUCUGUACAUACCUAUAUUUGGAUAAAUUUGCAGUUUGAGUAGCAAUAUAAUCUCCCGAAGCACUAACUAUGCUGUCUCUUACACCAGGUUGUUGCUCAUAUACUCAAGGUUAACAAAAGGUUUAUGGUAGUGUACACUGAAAUACUCAGCAAUGGGUCGCUUGCACUGCUGUGCAGUGUGUGUGCAUUGACAACAAUGCUGUGUUGUCUUAUUUUGGCGGUUUAAGGUAAAAUAGUGCACUAAUGUGUACUAUCAUUCAUAAAAGAUGAAAAAGCUAUUUCAUUCAGCAAUGCCAGUAUUAGCUAGACUGCCACAACUUAUAAGUGCAUAUAAGUGUCUAUGUAUAACUGCACAACUGAGACAUUUCUCCUUCUUGACCAAUUGCUUUUUUUUUAUUUGUUUACGAACAUGUGCUAUGAAUCACUGUCCUCGGAGACAAUUGCCACACAUGUAUGCCUUUGUGAACUUCCAACUGAAUUGCAUUAGCUAACAUGACUACCUGCCUGUGACCAUUUUAACGACAGUCAUGUGCCCUAAAACAUGUUAACAAACAUUCCAACAACAUGGGUAACAUCUUAGCAUCCUUCCACACCUAAGGGACUGUUUUCAGCACAUCACCACGGCACCCUGUGGCUGCAACAGCACAUCUGUGCGAGGGAUUGAAGGUAACAGCAGCCCUUGUGGAAAUAAACCUUUCAUUAAGCAGA